CGGCCUGCAACCAUAUGGCAUUUAGGCCAGGGGGCCCUACUGUGAAGGAGUCUUCUCACUCGACACACACACACACACACACACACACACACACACACACACACACACACACACACACACACACACACACACACACACACACUUCAUUCCAUUCGGUCUUGGUUAUUUGAGUUGAUUUGUUGUUUAAAACAAAGGGUCUGAGGAUGGCACCGCUCUAAUGGACUCCGGGGCGAGUCCAUCCAGCCAUUUGUUAUAUGAGUCGAUUUGUUAUUGGAAACAGAAGGCGUGAGCAUGUUCCCGGGGGUAUAUGCCGGGGUCAUUCAGGAGGCACGCACUCUGGAUUUCUAGUAUUAUUUAGAAUGUAUAUAAUCUAUUAUAGUAUAAUAUGAUGAUGAUUAUAUGAAAUACUGCUUUAACCCGUUACAUCCCAGGAUUAUGCUGAGGAGUCCUCCUUGAAAAAAAAAACAUUUUAAAAGUAUAGAGGUGUUAAGGCGUCAGCGGGGACAGGGCCUCAGCAGGGGGUCGGGGUGCCACAUCUGUAAAACAAUUUGACCAGUUUUGAGCAGAUUCUAUGGAGAAACUCUGUAUAAAUAUAGGCGGAGUUGAAAUGCCAGAGUCAUCCCGAACCCAGGCCUUCAUCCUAGAUCUUUGUUGGAUGUUGAAACAGCGGCAUGAUUCAAGGUAAAGCGCCGGCGGAAUGCCAAGGAUCUCAUUUCUCUGUUUCUCCUGAAAAUAUGCGCUAACAAAUUUCAUUUGCAUCAGCGCCAGCAUCUCAUGUAGCCAGUGGAUGGCGACUGCCAGAGAGCGCUUGACUCUGUAAGUAUGACUUCGCUUUGCAAAAUCGAUGAUUAAUAGACUGUAGAACGCUUUGAAAAAGUUUUCUUUUUGUCAUCGUCAGAUAGCCUUGCGCUUCAAAAUUGCCAGAGCCAGCAAUUUCAACUGCAGUUGCAGAUCAACAUUCAAGCGUGUUGAAAAUAAUAGCGUUUUUACCUUUUCUAAAAAAAAUCGCUGAGAUACAUCAGCCACCACGGACCGAUUACAGUCUCGACAUAUAAGACGACGCGCUUCUGGAGAGCUUCCUCACCAGACCAGGAAGAGAUAUUCGCUGUCAGCGGUUUCGACGCCGUUGCGCCGUAACCCAACCUGGAGCCACAGCAACAACAACAACAACAACAACAACAACAACAACAACAACAACAACAACAACAACAACAACAACAACAACAACAACAACAACAACAACAACAACAACAGCAACAGCAACAGCAACAGCAACAGCGGAGCCCUGAAGAGGAGAGUCUGAUUGGCGAGUUGGAGCGGGUACUGUCCCGACAGCCGAGCGUGGAGCCUUCGUCUCCUGAUAGCGGAGCCCUGUGCUUCUAGCGAAGCAGAGUGUCCCGGAACAGGCGAAGCAAACCCCCUUGCGUCGUCGGGGGAUUCCAUGCCCGAGGGGUCGUAAAAAAGUUUCUUAUUUAAGCAAUUUUUUUUAAAGAAGGGUUUCUACGGGUUUGACUAACUCGAGACUGUUUUCAAGCAGAUUCUGCUCGUCCGGGACUACGAGGGAGGAGGCGGCUCCAAGGAUCAAGGCUGCUCUUUAAUAAGGCCCUUGAGCACACACUUGAGGGCAUCGUCUGGAAUGUUAUUGAACGGGGUCUGAUGAUGAAUGAUUUGCUCCGCAUCCUGAUAUGACGUGAAAAUUGUGCUGGAAUGUCGCUCCUUUGAAUAUUAAAUAACAAGAUGGCUGAUAAAAACUCUGAUCUCAAUGAUUUACAAAGCCUCGAAGCCGAAGAUGUGUUAGCUUUAAUAUCGCUGCCCAAAGAGGGUUUAAUGGUGUAAAUAUAACCACCGAACUUUUGAUAGGUUGGAUGAAUUGGUCAAUUAUUUGGUGGCGAGAGUCGGAAGUGUGUCUCCAAUCUGCUGGAAAAUCCCACAUUCAGUGCUAAAGCCGUCAGUCUGCGCCUCCAGGCGCGUGUGUGCUCAGUCUGUAGUACCAAUAGAAAAUACUGAAGUUUGUUUGAGAAAGCGUCUGCUAGUUUCCCAAACAAACUUCAGUAUUUUCGGGUCGGGGUCCUCCAUGUCGAACACUCCCACUCCAAUAGCAUCGCUCAGGCGCUGCUCCGGCACCGCUCGCUUCCUCUUCUCAACGGGCUCAUCUUCCUCGUCAGAUUCAUCCUCAUCCAUUCUGUCAAAAAGCUCACUCAGAUACCCCACUACUAUGCCACGCAAAACACUCCAGUCAUACGCAGUGAUCGGCAUCAUUAUAGUGUCGGAAGAAAACAUCUCUGUCUUUGAGCUGGUAAAGACGCAACUCCCCCGUGGGGUAGCAAAACACAUAGCCGAAAGAGCCUGACGCUAGGUUAAGCUCGCCUUUGAGAGACGCGGGUAGCACUCUCUGCACUCUGCACAAUCGCAGCUUCGUUUUCUUAGGAGCUCUGCGCUGAUACUGACUCUCCACCACAACCCCAACAAUCACGCUGCUGCUGAUGCUGCCAGAAUCCUCUACUGCGGGAGAAUCUGCCAUUUUCCUGUUUUUUUCCCACACACGAGAGUCUCUGAUCACUACAAAAUCCUAAACCCUAAAUCCUAAAUCCAAAAACCAGGCGACUGGUAACAGACGUGUCACAUAACAGCUGCGUUCUGAUGAUCACAGCGCCCUUUAACACGGAGGAUGAAAGAUCGGCGCACCUCUGACAUUCGGGGUGCAGGUACACUUUCACUUUCGAGGUGAAAGAACAGGUACACUUUGACUUUCGGGGUGAAAGAACAGGUAUACUUUGACAUUCCGGGGUCAAGGAUGAAAAGGUCAAGUGACCUUUGACCUAAAGCUGUCAAAAUCUAGGUUGAUCAAUGGUUGGUUCCUAUACUCUCUUGUAGUCACACAUAGCAUCUCAUUGUUACCAAAGAAAUAUUCCAGUGCAGUACAAACAAAAACUACAUGAAUGAAUGCAUAAGAACAUCAGCGUUGAUGAUUAAACUCCAUGUUCCACCAGUAGAGCUCCACAGAUGACAGGAGACGCUGUAAGGCCUCAACCUUGAUGGACUGAAGCUAUUCAGUUGUGAGAGCAAAUAAAAGCAGGUGAGCUGAGAGGUGCCACAGUGAUCAAGAGCCCAGAGGCCCUGGAUCAAUGUGAUAUAAUCAGCCUGCACAUCAUUUACUGCCACACAUCAAUAUGAAGGAAUGUCUCUACUACAGACCUUAAACGCAACACAUCUCAUGUUUCCACUAAUUAGUAUAAUUACUGUGACUGAAAUUGAGAACAUACUGAUGAAUGAUUACAACCAGACGUGAAACAACAGUCAGAGAUGAAGCUGAUCCUGCGGUUUGUCACUACAAUGCUCUCCCCUUAUCACACUUUAUCAUUCAGCGGUUUACUUUAGGGCUAGUUGCCAGAUGUCUUAUACAAGAAAGGCAGAGAGAGCAAUGCAUUGUGGCCUUAUAGUUACUGAACAGGAACUAAACUUUGUUGAACUCAGCAUUCACACAAACAGUACUAUGUUGGAGCUACAGAUCCAGAGGAGGGCCAAGUGCAGAUCUCACGGUUUGUUGUUUCAUCCUAAGCACAUCUUUUGUGAUGGUCUCGAGAUGUCCACACAGAACCACAUGACGAUGAACCUGAUCCCAGGUUCCUAAAUAUUCAAUAAAAAUUAAUCUACUGAUAGGGGACAGCUAAGAGAACCGGGGCCUUCAGGACCACCUUUCCCCCACACACACUGUAAGUUCCAGAACCAAGCCCAGGGCCCAAGCAGAACCACCAACCUCAACAGUCUGUCCAGACAACCUCACCUCAUCAUUGCUGACCUCCGCAGAAUCAGCUUCAGUUGCUGUAAAAUGAGUAAUCUGUAUUUGGACAUUAGGUCUUCAAAAAGGGUAAAUAGUUUUGUAAAGCGCUUUAACCAAUUACCUCACCGAUGCCAGAGCUGCUACACAGCUUUGGCUGACCCCGGGGCCACGGGGGAUUCAAUGUCUCUAUAAGAACUAAGAUGUGAGUGUAGUGUCUUCAACCACGCCUGGCCGGGCUGUAAUCAUGUUUAGGUACUGUAGGAUCACUUGUUUUUAUCAGUGAAAUGAGCAAAGGCUGUCAUCUGUGGAAAUUGACCUCUGUCAAUAAUGAGAACCUAAAGUUAUAUUGUGAUUUCCCCAUUUACACAAUUAUCCAUGUGACUUUUGGGAGGCUGAUCAUCAUCUGGGAGGCUGAUCAUCAUCAGGGAGGUAAGUUACAUAUAGCCUGAUCAUUAUAUUCAUAGAUCAUGGAGCUUUGCCCUAUUACCCACGUCCUCUUAAUUCAUUCAAACCACCACUUAGAUUAGAUAGAUUCAUUCAUGAUGGUUGGUUGAUACUCUAAUGUUGCAUAUCAUCCAAUCAUAUGAACUGUUUUAUUCUCCAACAGUGUUGUUUUAUUUAAAUAUUAAAUUUGUUAAAGCCGUGACGAUUAUUUCCCCGUACAUCUGCACAUCACCUGCUCUCUGUAGGCAAAUGCUGCAUCAUUCGUCGUGUUUGAGCUGACUGUUUGCUACACUACACUACACAGCUCACUCAACAGGUCUCCAGGUAACCAGAGACAGAUCUCAGAUUAGUUUGUGGUGUUUCACUUCCGCUGAAUGCUUUUCAUGUGCAUGUACUAAUCUGUAGAUCAUGAUGUGGGGUAGUGAGCUAGCCACCAUGAGCCACUGCAGGGGGUCUACACAAUAACGUCUCAGUGUUUGCAGUAGUCACACUGUGGCAGAAACACAACAUCACAUAUGUCUUACAUUCAUGUAGAAGUCAAAAAAGCAGAAUAUAUACAAUGCUGAAUAAACUAAUGCAGUCCAAUUACUGCUGUAACCUGAAUCUAGCAGCUUGUGAAAAAACAAUAAUACGAUACAGUGACAAACCCUGGGUUCAGUGCAGGUAAUCACACUAAUAACCUGCAGAUGUACACAACAUCUGAAAAAGGGAGAGUGAACACACAUGUCAACAAGACACAUCAGCCUCAUCUAUCGCGAGCACAGUCAGGAGAAGGAGGAAGGGCUGAUGUUGUGUCUGAUGUGUCUGCAUUCCAAUGUGCUAAGAAGACCACAGACACGCGAAAACAUUUCAGUAGGACGUGCUAAAUGCUGUCAAACGUUAUGGGCUAAAUCUGUGCACACACUACAUAAACAUGUGUAUGUUUGAGUCAAACUGCUCCAAACUUGUUCUCUGUUUGUCAUUCGCUGUUUUGGUUCAUCCUGCCUCACUGUCAACUACAGUAUUACCCCCACAAAGAACAGAGAGAAUGGCUGUCGACAACCACACAACCCACUGAGCUUUACCCUAUGACCAUCAACUGUCAAACUCACAUUAUCAUAGUGUUCACAUAGGAGCACAGGGAGGAGUCUGAUGCUUCCUGAUGAAGCUCGAUGGAUCCCUGACUGUUCAGUCAACCUCGUCUAUUUGGUUUUCACUGUGUCUGCAAACUCUGCCACCUGAGUGUUGGCUUGUUCUGCCUGGUCAAACUUUAUUCUAGCUGUGACAGGAUCUCACACCUGUUAAUGUAAUACUGCUUGUUUGUAUAAAGCACCAUACAGUGUUUCCCCUAGAAUCAUGGGUUUGGAAAGAGGGAUGGGUAGUGCUGCAAAACACUCACAAACACUUGUGAAUCAUAUUAUAUUAUAAUCAUAUAAUAUUAUAACGUCUGAACAAUUACUGUGUUUAAUAACUGUACACUGAACUAAACACUAACCACCAGAUUUAUUUUAAAAAAUGUAAAAAGAAAAGGUUAGCAAAAAAAAGAUUAACAAUUGCCCUCUGACAGCCAAAUUGGUUAAAAACUUGUCAUUGGGUGGUGGCUAGACCUUAGGUGCUUGCCAGGGGCAGGACAGGCAGCAGUUCUUUUCUCUACUUUGACUAGGAGUAGGAAAGCUACACCAGCUGCUACUCACAACAGCAAGUAUUGUCAUCUUUAGCAUUUAAAAAAAUGCCCAUAUUUUUGACUGCUUUUCAGGCUGAUACGACAUUCUUUCACGCGGUCUCUGUCCACUGGUGGGUGUGUGCAUGCAUUAGGGUGCCAUACGGAGGAAAAUUGUAAAAAUUGUAGAAAUGACAUGCCAUCAGAUAAAUAACAUAGAGCUAUUUAGUUUAAUAAAAAAGCACAGACCUCGUAUAUAGGAAAGAUCAUCUGAAAUUACUUCUGUCGUUAUUCUAUGAAAACAAAAUAAAAUAAAAUUAACUUGACCUUUAAGGGGGGCGGGUGGUGCACACCCCUAAUAUAAUGGUAGGGGAAACACUGCCAUAUGUAGAGAUCUGUACAACAUAUGACCCACUGUCAUGAGAGAUUAAGAGACAAAAACACUGAAUUCAGUAACCUUUCAGGUUAUAACUACAAAUGCAACAACAAACAACACUUUUCACCCAUUGUUCAGUCAUGAUGGGUGAAGGGACAUCUCUCCAGUAGUGGAUUAUGUCAUCUGCUAACACCUCAGUCAGUGGCACCACAGCUUCACGUCUGAAUAUUCCUAUCAGUCAAACCACUAAAUACAUAUAGGUCAAUGAGAUGAUGUGACGACUGUAAGUUGAACCACAAGCUCAGAGCAGCAGAGCCUGUCAACACAGCUCGAGCAAAAAAAUGUACAUUAUAAAACAUUCUUCUCUCCAAAAAUAGCAGAUAGCAAGGCAUGAGGGGGCAUUGGCUUCUGGAAGGAUAAGAAUGCUGAGGCCAAACACUCAUGUUAUGAAAGGCUCCGCAAUUAAAGCAACAUCUACUGUAUAUAAACAGAGAAAAAGUCUAAAUACAGAGACACAAAAAUCAGCUUUCAUUUUAAAUAAUGUCAUAUAAAAACUAGCAGUUGUUAAUACCAGCAGCAGUGGGUACAGGAGCAAGCUGUUUGCUGAUUGGUCAGUGGGAACCAACCCAUCUUUUUUCUGAGCUUGUGGCGAGUUGUUGGUCUCCACCCUCCCUCAGCCAGAGCAUCCCCAUCUGCUACCAGGCUAAUUUCUCCAGAACACCCUGCGACCAGCCAGAAUGACCAUAGUCCCAUAGCACUCACUGCAGCCUCUUUGUGGUUUAGAGGAGGCGCUGACCCACAUCUAGAUAAACUAGACCCUCUGCCAUGCACCUGUGUUCCAACCUGUCUACCUCAGGCGCUACCGCCACCUUCCUAUCUCUCUUACCCAGUUGGAUGAUCAGGCAGCUGUAGUCCUGUUCACACUGGGACACACCCCACAUUCUGACUGGCUCCUAGACUGGAACCUCAACUGUCCCCACCAAGUACACAGGUACACAGGAGUGUGUUUUCAUCCCCAUCCUCUACACGAUGUGUAACAUCCUGAAACUGGUUGAUGACACUGCAGUGACAGGACAGAUCCCAGAUCUUGAGAAGCUGCAUUAACAGCUCUCAGCUACACAUAUAUGACAGCAUCACUUUUGUUUCUAUAUGAAAAUAAUUUCUCAUCUGGGUUUAUGUCAACACAUUUGACAUGCAUGUGAAAACAGGACUCAUGUUCACGCAUGCUCACCCUCCUGGUGUUAUCCAGCACUUUAGGGUCCGGCCGUCCAUAGUUGGGGGGGUUGGCGUGGGGAUCGUAGCCCAACCUGGAGAGCAUGGGGGCAAUAACAGCCAUGUCCCUCACCACAUCAGCUGGUAUCUUCCCCACCCAUUUGGAUAAGGCCUCUACAUUGACGGGUUUGAUGACCUGGUCCGUGGACCUCUCCACCCUGUCAACACAAAGACAUACGCUGAUUUUAAUAACUAAAUAUAAAAAGAAUUACAAGAUGUUAGUGUCAUGUGCUCUUAACCUUAACUGAUGAUAUGAACAUCAGUUAUUUUCUUCAUCGUAAAUGUAAAACGGAAAGUAGGAAAAAUAACUAAAGAGAAAUUUGUUAAAACCUGAUUCUCAGCAGCAUCUACUCAUUCUACCGGAAUGACUCAGUGCUGGAUGAAGUAGGAUUUGUUGGGUUUUCUAGAUAGUGGUAUUAAAACUGGAUUACCAUCAAUGCUUGACAAAGGUCAUUGUUUGGGACAGAGCAAGAGGGCUUAAGUUCUUUCCUUUCAUCAAUACAUGGAGGCCAGGCUUUUAGGAGGGAAUGCACCAUUAUGUUGUGGGGAAAUUAUUCAUUGUAUGGAAUCAAACAGGAAGCUGAUGGACUGUAGUAAAGGAUUUUAUGACUAAUCAAUACACAACCACACUUUAGAGUCAUUGAAUUAACAGCUCCAGGGCCACACUGCUCAGUAGACACCACCAAUCCUAAUGCAAAUCAGCUUUACCAUAUUUUGAUAUUACAGACACUUAAAAUACCAUUUAAUUAAAAGUCCAGCUGUGGUAGGCAGUGUCUGCAUUAGGUUUCUGUUUGUGGGUGCAUAAUAAAACAAACCUUAACCAUUACUCAAGUUCCGUUAAAGAUGUGAUGCAGUUUCUUCAAUGCAAACCAUCCAACCUGCUACUCUAGCAAAGGUCAAAGGCCACACACUAAAGUCUGUCAUACAUCAACAUGGAUCCUCACGAUUUCAGGAGAUUACAUAGGAAACUGGAUGUGUGACUGUGAACCUCUGAGACUUCAAACACACUCUCUCUGUGCCCCAAGCUCUAUUUACGGUGUGUGUAUGGGACGUACACACGCAGGUUUGGCACUGGUGGCUGUUAUGGGAAAAAUUGUUUCUUCCUUAUUCUAUGCAGUUAUUAUAUGAUUUAUGACUUAUGUUCUGCAAUUAAUAUAUUUUGUCUUACUUCUGUUUUAUGUAUUUCACCUAGAUUGUUCAAUGGUUGUUUCUGCCUGAUAGAGUCUGGACUCUAGCUCCCAAACACAAGGCGUUGUGUGUCUCUGUCUGUUGAGCUUAGCGCUCCUUCUUCUCAGAUAGUCAGACGUCAGCGAUGCAGAUGUGAGAAUGUAAACAUCUCCACACACACAGCGACAGGGAUGAUGCAUGCAGUUUGAUUGGGCUACACAGACGUUCCACCGUAGUCAAACCGAGGCGUUAAAAGGCAGAAACAACUUGAGGAUUUUGGGCUCUUUGCAUCACACCUUUGUGGUGUGUGCACUGAUCUCCCCAGCUGGUUUUUUGAUGUGCACGAUCAACAUCCAUGCUUUUGAUUUGCUUUCCCCAUUAUUUUCAUUUUCCUUUAUUUUUAUAAUAAAUCACACAAAAGACAA